AAAAAGAUAAACCCUGGGUUUCCGUAUCCAUCAUUUGAUUGUCCGUCUUAUAUGAAAUUUUUUUAUAAUUAGUAUUUUCAUUGUUGUUAGAUGAUAAAACAUAAUUAAUACUUUAUACGUGACUUAUCUUUUUUAUUUUUUUCAUAAUUUUUUCAAAUAAGACAGACGGUCAAACGUUGGACACGAAAACCUAGGGUUUGUCCUUUU
rfam:Oryza glumipatula chromosome 9, whole genome shotgun sequence.